AGCCACUUAAAAAACCAUCAUAAA
rnacentral:siRNA from 1 species